GGUGGCAGAGUCCAGACAACAGGGUCUGCUCCAUGCCUGGUCCCUGGAGGGGCCCUCACCCUGUCUGUUUUCACCCAACCCAACUGACAUGAAGUAGGAGGCAGGAAUCAUGCAGGCAGGGAGCUCAGGGAGCCCGUUCGAGAUUGCUUUGAAUGGAAGGACCCCUGCCAUGCUCCUGGGGAUUGAGCCUGAAACCUGGAUGCUCUGGAGCCCCUUGGAUCUGUCAUCUGUCCCCAACACCCCCGAGGCAAGCCUUGCCACUGGGCCCUGGGAAGCUCAGAGUAGUUGAGUCAGGGCAGUGGGACAUGACCCAGGUCGGAUGUGGCUUUUGCCUAAUUAUACACCAAUGCUCAAGAGAAAAUGAGGGAUUUUCAUAUCCAGGAAGAUCCUCUGCCUCCAUGCCAGGCCCACUGCCCACCACAAGGGAGCAAGAACCAGGGCAUAGGCAGGUAAAAGAGCAGGUGGAACCGCUGAGCUCCUGUCCUGGGUCCCUAAGGUGGUCCCAGUUUGUGGAGGAUUAUGUGUCCUCAAAGCUCAGUAGCCCACUUUCCAAAUAAGCCACCAGACUCCUCCCAAGACCCUAAAACUGAGGCUCAGAGAGCAGAAGCAGCUUGCCCAAAGUCACACAACUGGUAGUUGUUAAAGGAGCUGGUCUUGAACUCAGGGAUAUCUUGAAAGCCACUGUUGCUUCUACAAACUCAGCCAUUCAAAAGACCCCUCACCUUCAAUAAGACCCCAGCUGAUCCUCAGGGUCCAACUGCUCCCCUGAAAACAGGUCCCAGAUAUAUCUGCCAAAGGUAUGAUUAGGUGCCUAAACACAUACCAUGAGAAAGGGACUCCAUGUCUUCUAAUCCUGCCCAGAGAUGCAGAGACAUCACCAACCAGGGAGAGAGGGCCAGAAACUAAAAUAAGGUGUUAGAGACAGGCUGGCUGAUGGUGACAGAUACAGCCACAACAAGACAGGCCCAAAGAGAGGGAGACUGAGGGGAAGCCAGAGACAGCGAAGGACACAUUAGGCCAAAGAAUGAGAGAGACAGCUGGAAAAGGAGACAACAGGAGUAGAGGAGGGUACAGGCUGACAUGAAAAAACACAGAUACACUCCAGUAUGCAGACACACAUAGACCCAUUUGACCUUCACAAGAAACAAACUGAAAGCAAGCAAGGCUCAGGCUGUAUGGUGUGUGUAUGCGUGUGUGCGUGUUGUGGGGGAAGCAUGCAGAGUCUGUAUCGCUACGCACAUUACACCAGCUGCUUCCAGCAAUUUCAUCUGAUUAAUAAUAAAUGCCCCAUAAUUACAGCCGC